rnacentral:lncRNA from 10 species
GGGAAGUAGAACGUGUUGGUGAAAAUGAGACUAGAGAAAAAUGAAAGCAGAUUUAUAACACUCUACAUUCAGGAAAACACAUGACUGAGUCUGUUGUAUGCAACAUGGCUUGCUGAAAGUGCUCUAAAGUAGGAGACAGGAGAGAAAGAGAAAAAGUCUACUCUGAGCUCAGGCAGUAACUGACUGGUGUAAACUCCCUGGCCUUUAUGUGGAGGGACCGUAAAACAAAAAGCAGUAGAAGGACAAACGAGGAAAGUCAGUGCAACGACAAUGAAGAAACUGCAUGUGUACAGGAAGUGUAGAGAAAGACUUCAAAUUCCAGCGGGCAAUGGAAUUGCAAACCUCUGCCACAGUACCCACUACUUUCUACUUGACUCUGUUAUUUCUGGAUCUGCCUACCAGAGUCCAUAUUCCUCACUGAAGAUGGAGUUUAGGUGUGGAAAAAGUCUACAUGCAAAGUAACUACUAAUGAAAGUUUGUGAAGAUGUUAAAAUCAACAAAUUAA